AUUAUAACGUAACGGCAGCAGUGACAGGUGACAUAAUAUUACAUGGUUACAUUACAUGUGUAUUAUAACGUGACGGCAGCAGUGACAGAGGGGGCAUGAUAUUACAUGGUUACAUUACAUGUGUAUUAUAACGUGACGGCAGCAGUGACAGAGGUGACAUGAUAUUACAUGGUUACAUUACAUGUGUAUUAUAAUGUGACGGCAGCAGUGACAGAGGUGACAUGAUAUUACAUGGUUACAUUACAUGUGUAUUAUAACGUGACGGCAGCAGUGACAGAGGGGGCAUGAUAUUACAUGGUUACAUUACAUGUGUAUUAUAACGUGACGGCAGCAGUGACAGAGGUGACAUGAUAUUACAUGGUUACAUUACAUGUGUAUUAUAACGUGACGGCAGCAGUGACAGAGGUGACAUGAUAUUACAUGGUUACAUUACAUGUGUAUUAUAACGUGACGGCAGCAGUGACAGAGGUGACAUGAUAUUACAUGGUUACAUUACAUGUGUAUUAUAACGUGACGGCAGCAGUGACAGAGGUGACAUAAUAUUACAUGGUUACAUUACAUGUGUAUUAUAACGUGACGGCAGCAGUGACAGAGGUGACAUGAUAUUACAUGGUUACAUUACAUGUGUAUUAUAACGUGACGGCAGCAGUGACAGAGGUGACAUGAUAUUACAUGGUUACAUUACAUGUGUAUUAUAACGUGACGGCAGCAGUGACAGAGGUGACAUGAUAUUACAUGGUUACAUUACAUGUGUAUUAUAACGUGACGGCAGCAGUGACAGAGGUGACAUGAUAUUACAUGGUUACAUUACAUGUGUAUUAUAACGUGACGGCAGCAGUGACAGAGGUGACAUGAUAUUACAUGGUUACAUUACAUGUGUAUUAUAACGUGACGGCAGCAGUGACAGAGGUGACAUGAUAUUACAUGGUUACAUUACAUGUGUAUUAUAACGUGACGGCAGCAGUGACAGAGGUGACAUGAUAUUACAUGGUUACAUUACAUGUGUAUUAUAACGUGACGGCAGCAGUGACAGAGGUGACAUGAUAUUACAUGGUUACAUUACAUGUGUAUUAUAACGUGACGGCAGCAGUGACAGAGGUGAUAUGAUAUUACAUGGUUACAUUACAUGUGUAUUAUAACGUGACGGCAGCAGUGACAGAGGUGACAUGAUAUUACAUGGUUACAUUACAUGUGUAUUAUAACGUGACGGCAGCAGUGACAGAGGUGACAUGAUAUUACAUGGUUACAUUACAUGUGUAUUAUAACGUGACGGC